rnacentral:rRNA from 1 species
AUUGAACGCUGGCGGCAGGCCUAACACAUGCAAGUCGAGCGGAUGAAGGGAGCUUGCUCCUGGAUUCAGCGGCGGACGGGUGAGUAAUGCCUAGGAAUCUGCCUGGUAGUGGGGGAUAACGUCCGGAAACGGGCGCUAAUACCGCAUACGUCCUGAGGGAGAAAGUGGGGGAUCUUCGGACCUCACGCUAUCAGAUGAGCCUAGGUCGGAUUAGCUAGUUGGUGGGGUAAAGGCCUACCAAGGCGACGAUCCGUAACUGGUCUGAGAGGAUGAUCAGUCACACUGGAACGGAGACACGGUCCAGACUCCUACGGGAGGCAGCGGUGGGGAAUAUGGGACAAGGGGCGAAAGCCUGUGCCAGCCAGGCCGCGUGUGUGAAGAAGGUCUUCGGAUUGUAAAUCACUUUAGGUGGGGAGGAAGGGCAGUAAGUUAAUACCUUGCUGUUUUGACGUUACCAACAGAAUAAGCACCGGCUAACUUCGU